AUUGAACGCUGGCGGCAGGCUUAACACAUGCAAGUCGAACGGAACCUUCGGGUUUAGUGGCGAACGGGUGAGUAAUACCUAGGAAUCUGCCUAUUAGUGGGGGAUAACGGCUCGAAAGGGUCGCUAAUACCGCAUACGUCCUACGGGAGAAAGAGGGGGAUCUUCGGACCUCUUGCUAAUAGAUGAGCCUAGGCCGGAUUAGCUAGUUGGUAGGGUAAAGGCCUACCAAGGCGACGAUCCGUAGCUGGUCUGAGAGGAUGAUCAGCCACACUGGAACUGAGACACGGUCCAGACUCCUACGGGAGGCAGCAGUGGGGAAUAUUGGACAAUGGGGGCGAACCCUGAUCCAGCCAUGCCGCGUGUGUGAAGAAGGCC
rnacentral:rRNA from 1 species